CAGUCCAUUUAUAGCCUUCCUCCCCCUCUUUUUUUUUUUUUUUUUAUUAUUAUUUUUUUUCCCUGUGAGCCUUGGCACUGGUAGAUGUCUGCUCAAGAAGCUGGUAUCAGGAAACAUUAUUCCAGCCAAAGUGAAUUUCAGCCUGACUGGCUCUAUUCUGGCUUGUUCUCUCCCUGACCUUUCCACUGGAAAUUGUUUAGGCUGCAGUAAUUAAAACUGGAACCUUGCUGUCCAAGGUGUCUAUCCUUUGGAGUCCUUUUCUGUACCUACAGAUAAUUACCUUGAUUCAAACCCACACGGUCUAUCUCCAAAUGCACAGAAGAGACUUCAAAAAAAAUCCAUUCUGAUCCUUUAUCAAGACAAAUGCUGGAGAAAUCAGAAAGAAGUACAUGGCAAGGAUGAAGAGAGAAGUUUUUCUCACUUGUGACUCCCCGUUUACAGCAACACCAGGAGAGAUGGACUGGACAACAGAAUCAUCUGGCACAGAGAAAAUCAGCUGAAAAAUUGUUCCUUCAAAUGCCUUCAGAGCAUGCUUUAUGCCAUUUUCUCUGCUGAUACCAGUAUUAAAUGCAGGUGAUGACACAUCCUUUUCAAGAACAGUAUGGUGUGCACAAUUUUCAAAAGUAAUGCUGGUCUCUUGGGAGAAAGAGCUACAGCUUGUCCCAUCAGUCUGCCUGCCUGUCCUGCCUAGAUGCCAGACUGCUGACCCUUUGUCUCUUUUGGACUCUGCGUUCAACGUGGGCCUGUAGAAGCAGCAUACAGAAAUAUAUAUAUGAGGAAGAUGGGUAAAAAAGUGUGAGGCAGGAGGGGGAUGGCAGGCAGCAAGGAGCUCCAGGAGGAGGACAGGGGAUGUGGGAUGAGGGGCAGGAAGGAGAGGUCAGGGAAGGGAGAUAUGGAAGGCCAUGGCAGCGAGGAGCUCGGGGCUGGAGCAUCAGGGCCUGCAUGAGGGGUAUGCAUCAGGGAGGGUGAUAGGUGAGGAAUGGGGGUGCAAAAGAGGUGGGGAAGGGUGAGAAUGUGCAAUGGGAGGGAGAGGGAAAGCCUGUGGUGGCAUUGUUUUUAAUGUGCUCUAUGGCAGUUGGACCCGUUCCUGCAGCGUGGGCCGGCGUUUUGAUACAAGCCAACGCAUCUGUCUGACAGGCUGUCCUCAAGAGCUGUGACUGAAAUAGCCGGUGUCCUGGGGACAGGCCGUGUCCCACGCCUGAGGACAAGGUUGUACAACACUCACUUUGCUUUCCUGUCGUUUGCCCUGCGGUCACCAGACUGCAAGUAAAGUUUAGGCCAUGGGUUUUGCCCC